CUGUGGGCGGCUGGCCUUGUCCAUCCCCAAGGAGAGAUGCCUUCCAGACACUCUCAGUCACUACGGUUUGCUGAUCCACUAUUUCAAAAGGAAGGAUAGAAUUUAGGCUCCAGCUGGCUGGAGAAAGAACUGGCUCCUACAUGGGCUUGCUGGCCAACCUCAGAUGGCAGGUGGUCAGAGCAGGUGGGUUGAUGACCUCCCCUCAGCCCAGAUCGGGACUGUCUCAAUGGCUCCCAAGGCCCGUGAUUGGCAGGUGAUGACUGAAGGCUCAAAGGCCCAGCCUGACCGCUGCCCCCAUCGUCUUGCUUCUGCAUCCGUCUCCUUUUCACAGUGGUGCCAGUUGUGCUGUGCUGGACUGGGGCCUCCAGACUCCACCAUGGCCUUCCCUGUGUCUCCAGAUAGGGUCCCACUCACAGGCCCGAGGCUGUGACUGCAGCUGACCUGGUGGGGCCACAGUUCCACCACGCUGUACCCCAAUCAGAAGCAGGACAAGGACGUCUGUUCCCUCUUUGACUCAGAUUCAUUCUGGAUCCUUCCUUGUGUUGUAAGAAAGGGAAAGAAGAGCCGUUGGGGCCGGGAAGGGAAGAGACCAGCUCUCUCGAUGCUCAGAGGACAUUACUGAUCACUGGGAAACCUUAUGAACAGUAGAUCUCCUAGACCUGGCAGGCUCAACAAGACUGGCACAAGGUUGACAUACAGGAAAUAAACGUGUUCUGUUUACUAGCAGCAACUGAGUCAAAUCUGAGGUUAAAAAUGACACCAACAAAUAUGGAACAUUUAAUCAUAAAUCUUACCCCAAAAUGUGCAAGUUCGGAACUCAAAAUCACAGGCUUUUGGAGACGAUGUGAAGAUUGAGUAAAUAAAUGAGGGAGAGAGCAUGUUCGUGGACCAGAAGACACAGUACAGUUAAAAUGUCAGGCCUCUCCAGGUUAAUCUGCCCGUUCAAAGCAACCUAAUCAAAAUCCUGUCAGGGUCUUUUGUAGGUGAUAACAAGAUGAUCUCUGAUUUGCACAGAAAUAGAAAGGGCCAAUACAAUCUGAUGAAGUGCAAAUUUGGAGGACACAUAUUCAGACUUAUAGUCAGGCUGCCACCAUCAAACAGUGCCCUGUUAGCCUUCGGGUGGGCACUAUGACCAGACCAGAACAGACCCUGUGACAAAGGGUGCAGGGACAGCUAGGGGCCAGAAGUGGAGCUCAGAUCCAUACCUGGCACUGCAGGCAAGGUGUGGACCCAGAACAGAUCACAGACCUGAAUGCAUGACCUAACCUAGAAUUUCCAGCACAGGAAAAAAAACCUCUCUGUGCCUCCAAUUGGGAAAGGAUUUCUCAA